AUUGAACGCUGGCGGCAUGCCUUACACACGCAAGUCGAACGGCAGCACGGGAGCAAUCCUGGUGGCGAGUGGCGAACGGGUGAGUAAUAUAUCGGAACGUGCCCAGUCGUGGGGGAUAACGUAGCGAAAGCUACGCUAAUACCGCAUACGAUCUAUGGAUGAAAGCGGGGGAUCGCAAGACCUCGCGCGAUUGGAGCGGCCGAUAUCAGAUUAGGUAGUUGGUGAGGUAAAGGCUCACCAAGCCGACGAUCUGUAGCUGGUCUGAGAGGACGACCAGCCACACUGGGACUGAGACACGGCCCAGACUCCUACGGGAGGCAGCAGUGGGGAAUUUUGGACAAUGGGCGCAAGCCUGAUCCAGCAAUGCCGCGUGCAGGAUGAAGGCCUUCGGGUUGUAAACUGCUUUGUACGGAACGAAACGGUGAGCUCUAAUACAGUUUGCUAAUGACGGUACCGUAAGAAUAAGCACCGGCUAACUACGUG
rnacentral:rRNA from 1 species